CUUUGGUGGCGACCGGCGCACGGGUGCGUAACGCGUAUGCAACCUACCUUUAACAGGGGCAUAACACUGAGAAAUUGGUACUAAUUCCCCAUAACAUUCGAGAAGGCAUCUUCUUGGGUUAAAAACUCCGGUGGUUAAAGAUGGGCAUGCAUUGUAUUAGCUAGUUGGUGAGGUAACGGCUCACCAAGGCAACGAUACAUAGGGGGACUGAGAGGUUAACCCCCCACAUUGGUACUGAGACACGGACCAA
rnacentral:rRNA from 1 species